rnacentral:tRNA from 1 species
GGCUGGUGUGGUGUAGUGGUUUGUGUUGGACUAGGACUCUGGAGACCAGGGUUUGAAUCCCCACUCAGCCA